GUUGUUUGACCGCAUGGUUCAGACAUAAAAGGUGGCUUCGGCUACCACUUACAGAUGGACCCGCGGCGCAUUAGCUAGUUGGUGAGGUAACGGCUCACCAAGGCGACGAUGCGUAGCCGACCUGAGAGGGUGAUCGGCCACACUGGGACUGAGACACGGCCCAGACUCCUACGGGAGGCAGCAGUAGGGAAUCUUCCGCAAUGGACGAAAGUCUGACGGAGCAACGCCGCGUGAGUGAUGAAGGUUUUCGGAUCGUAAAGCUCUGUUGUUAGGGAAGAACAAGUGCCGUUCAAAUAGGGCGGCACCUUGACGGUACCUAACCAGAAAGCCACGGCUAACUACGUGCCAGCAGCCGCGGUAAUACGUAGGUGGCAAGCGUUGUCCGGAAUUAUUGGGCGUAAAGGGCUCGCAGGCGGUUUCUUAAUUCUG
rnacentral:rRNA from 1 species